GUGCAGCAGCCGCGGUAAUACGGAGGGGGUUAGCGUUGUUCGGAAUUACUGGGCGUAAAGCGCACGUAGGCGGACUAGUCAGUCAGAGGUGAAAUCCCGAGGCUCAACCUCGGAACUGCCUUUGAUACUGCUAGUCUAGAGUUCGAGAGAGGUGAGUGGAAUUCCGAGUGUAGAGGUGAAAUUCGUAGAUAUUCGGAGGAACACCAGUGGCGAAGGCGGCUCACUGGACCGUGAUCGACGCUGAGGAGCGAAAGCUAGGGGAGCAAACAGGAUUAGAUA
rnacentral:rRNA from 1 species